AGGCGAUGAAGGACGUGCUAAUCUGCGAUAAGCGUCGGUAAGGUGAUAUGAACCGUUAUAACCGGCGAUUUCCGAAUGGGGAAACCCAGUGUGAUUCGUCACACUAUCAUUAACUGAAUCCAUAGGUUAAUGAGGCGAACCGGGGGAACUGAAACAUCUAAGUACCCCGAGGAAAAGAAAUCAACCGAGAUUCCCCCAGUAGCGGCGAGCGAACGGGGAGCAGCCCAGAGCCUGAAUCAGUGUGUGUGUUAGUGGAAGCGUCUGGAAAGGCGUGCGAUACAGGGUGACAGCCCCGUACACAAAAAUGCACAUACUGUGAGCUCGAUGAGUAGGGCGGGACACGUGGUAUCCUGUCUGAAUAUGGGGGGACCAUCCUCCAAGGCUAAAUACUCCUGACUGACCGAUAGUGAACCAGUACCGUGAGGGAAAGGCGAAAAGAACCCCGGCGAGGGGAGUGAAAAAGAACCUGAAACCGUGUACGUACAAGCAGUGGGAGCACGCUUAGGCGUGUGACUGCGUACCUUUUGUAUAAUGGGUCAGCGACUUAUAUUCUGUAGCAAGGUUAACCGAAUAGGGGAGCCGAAGGGAAACCGAGUCUUAACUGGGCGUUAAGUUGCAGGGUAUAGACCCGAAACCCGGUGAUCUAGCCAUGGGCAGGUUGAAGGUUGGGUAACACUAACUGGAGGACCGAACCGACUAAUGUUGAAAAAUUAGCGGAUGACUUGUGGCUGGGGGUGAAAGGCCAAUCAAACCGGGAGAUAGCUGGUUCUCCCCGAAAGCUAUUUAGGUAGCGCCUCGUGAAUUCAUCUCCGGGGGUAGAGCACUGUUUCGGCAAGGGGGUCAUCCCGACUUACCAACCCGAUGCAAACUGCGAAUACCGGAGAAUGUUAUUACGGGAGACACACGGCGGGUGCUAACGUCCGUCGUGAAGAGGGAAACAACCCAGACCGCCAGCUAAGGUCCCAAAGUCAUGGUUAAGUGGGAAACGAUGUGGGAAGGCCCAGACAGCCAGGAUGUUGGCUUAGAAGCAGCCAUCAUUUAAAGAAAGCGUAAUAGCUCACUGGUCGAGUCGGCCUGCGCGGAAGAUGUAACGGGGCUAAACCAUGCACCGAAGCUGCGGCAGCGACGCUUAUGCGUUGUUGGGUAGGGGAGCGUUCUGUAAGCCUGUGAAGGUGUGCUGUGAGGUAUGCUGGAGGUAUCAGAAGUGCGAAUGCUGACAUAAGUAACGAUAAAGCGGGUGAAAAGCCCGCUCGCCGGAAGACCAAGGGUUCCUGUCCAACGUUAAUCGGGGCAGGGUGAGUCGACCCCUAAGGCGAGGCCGAAAGGCGUAGUCGAUGGGAAACAGGUUAAUAUUCCUGUACUUGGUGUUACUGCGAAGGGGGGACGGAGAAGGCUAUGUUGGCCGGGCGACGGUUGUCCCGGUUUAAGCGUGUAGGCUGGUUUUCCAGGCAAAUCCGGAAAAUCAAGGCCGAGGCGUGAUGACGAGGCACUACGGUGCUGAAGCAACAAAUGCCCUGCUUCCAGGAAAAGCCUCUAAGCAUCAGGUAACAUCAAAUCGUACCCCAAACCGACACAGGUGGUCAGGUAGAGAAUACCAAGGCGCUUGAGAGAACUCGGGUGAAGGAACUAGGCAAAAUGGUGCCGUAACUUCGGGAGAAGGCACGCUGAUACGUAGGUGAAGCGACUUGCUCGUGGAGCUGAAAUCAGUCGAAGAUACCAGCUGGCUGCAACUGUUUAUUAAAAACACAGCACUGUGCAAACACGAAAGUGGACGUAUACGGUGUGACGCCUGCCCGGUGCCGGAAGGUUAAUUGAUGGGGUUAGCGCAAGCGAAGCUCUUGAUCGAAGCCCCGGUAAACGGCGGCCGUAACUAUAACGGUCCUAAGGUAGCGAAAUUCCUUGUCGGGUAAGUUCCGACCUGCACGAAUGGCGUAAUGAUGGCCAGGCUGUCUCCACCCGAGACUCAGUGAAAUUGAACUCGCUGUGAAGAUGCAGUGUACCCGCGGCAAGACGGAAAGACCCCGUGAACCUUUACUAUAGCUUGACACUGAACAUUGAGCCUUGAUGUGUAGGAUAGGUGGGAGGCUUUGAAGUGUGGACGCCAGUCUGCAUGGAGCCGACCUUGAAAUACCACCCUUUAAUGUUUGAUGUUCUAACGUGGACCCGUGAUCCGGGUUGCGGACAGUGUCUGGUGGGUAGUUUGACUGGGGCGGUCUCCUCCUAAAGAGUAACGGAGGAGCACGAAGGUUGGCUAAUCCUGGUCGGACAUCAGGAGGUUAGUGCAAUGGCAUAAGCCAGCUUGACUGCGAGCGUGACGGCGCGAGCAGGUGCGAAAGCAGGUCAUAGUGAUCCGGUGGUUCUGAAUGGAAGGGCCAUCGCUCAACGGAUAAAAGGUACUCCGGGGAUAACAGGCUGAUACCGCCCAAGAGUUCAUAUCGACGGCGGUGUUUGGCACCUCGAUGUCGGCUCAUCACAUCCUGGGGCUGAAGUAGGUCCCAAGGGUAUGGCUGUUCGCCAUUUAAAGUGGUACGCGAGCUGGGUUUAGAACGUCGUGAGACAGUUCGGUCCCUAUCUGCCGUGGGCGCUGGAGAACUGAGGGGGGCUGCUCCUAGUACGAGAGGACCGGAGUGGACGCAUCACUGGUGUUCGGGUUGUCAUGCCAAUGGCACUGCCCGGUAGCUAAAUGCGGAAGAGAUAAGUGCUGAAAGCAUCUAAGCACGAAACUUGCCCCGAGAUGAGUUCUCCCUGACCCUUUAAGGGUCCUGAAGGAACGUUGAAGACGACGACGUUGAUAGGCCGGGUGUGUAAGCGCAGCGAUGCGUUGAGCUAACCGGUACUAAUGAACCGUGAGGCUUAACCUUACAACGCCGAAG
rnacentral:rRNA from 1 species